GAACGAACGCUGGCAGGCGUGCUUAACACAUGCAAGUCGAGUGCGCGCUUGUAGCAAUACAAGUGGCAGCACGGCGCACGGGUGCGUAACACGUGGGUAACCUGCCCUUUGGUGGGGAAUAACUCCGCGAAAGCGGAGCUAAUUCCGCAUAAGAUCCGCAAGGAUGAAAGCCGCAAGGCGCCGAUGGAGGGGCCCGCGCCCGAUUAGCUUGUUGGUAGGGUAAUGGCCUACCAAGGCUUUGAUCGGUAGCUGGUCUGAAAGGAUGGCCAGCCACACUGGAACUGAGACACGGUCCAGACUCUACGGGAGGCACAGUGGGGAAUCUUGCCAAUGGGCCAAAACCUGAU
rnacentral:rRNA from 1 species